rnacentral:rRNA from 1 species
GGCUAGCCGUAAACUUCCACUUACACCUAAUCGCCGCGGGAACACGAGCCAGCUUAAACCCAAAGGACUUGACGGACCCCAUAUCCACCUAGAGGAGCCUGUCCUAUAAUCGAUAAUCCACGUUUAACCUCACCAUUUUUAGCUUCUCAGCCUGUAUACCUCCGUCGUUCAGCUUACCACGUGAGCGCUAUAUUAGAGAGCUUAAUGUCUUUCACCAAUACGUCAGGUCAAGGGUGCAGCCAAAUGAAAAUGGGAAGAGAUGGGCCUACCAAUCUCUUAAUUUAAGAAAAACCGAAAAACUAUCUAUGAAACCCUAGUUAGGAAGGUCGGAUUUAACCGUUAAAAAGGUAUAAGAAUUGGCCCAUUUAAAUUCCUGCCACUUGGGGGUGGGUCCCCGACCGGCCU